rnacentral:rRNA from 1 species
UACGGAGGAUGCAAGCGUUAUCCGGAAUGAUUGGGCGUAAAGGGUCCGCAGGUGGCAGUGUAAGUCUGCUGUCAAAGAAUGAGGCUUAACCUCAUCAAGGCAGUGGAAACUACAUAGCUAGAGUACGGUCGGGGUAGAAGGAAUUCCUGGUGUAGCGGUGAAAUGCGUAGAGAUCAGGAAGAACACCGGUGGCGAAAGCGUUCUGCUAGACCUGUACUGACACUGAGGGACGAAAGCUAGGGGAGCGAAUGGG